GAUGAACGCUGGCGGCGUGCUUAACACAUGCAAGUCGGACGGAAAGGCUCCUUCUUGCUGGGGUACUCGAUUGGCGAACGGGUGAGUAACACGUGGGUUAUCUGCCCUUCACUUCGUGAUAAGCCUUGGAAACUGGGUCUAAUACCGGAUAGGACCACAUUUUGGAUGGUGUGGUUGAAAGUUUUUCGGUGUGGGAUGAGCUCGCGGCCUAUCAGCUUGUUGGUGGGGUAAUGUCCUACGAAGCCGUCGACGGGUAGCCGGCCUGAGAGGGUGUACGGGCACAAUGGGACUGAGAUACGGAACAGACGGCAACGGGAGGCAGCAGUGGGGAAUAGUGCAGAAUGGGAGGAAGCAUGAUGAAGAGACGCGGCGUGGGGGAUGAAGGCCGUCGGGUUGUAAAAAAAUUUAGAUAGGGACGAAGAGAAAGUGACGGUAACUGGAGAAGAAGCACCGGCUAACUACGUG
rnacentral:rRNA from 1 species